CUUCUUUCAUACGAACUUAUAUUUCUCUCUCUACUAUAGAGAAAAAGGCGAAACAAAACCCUUGGCAAAUUCAAUCGACGAUUAUAGCUCCGUGUCUUCAUCCUGUUGCAAUUUUGCAGUGGCUUUUGUACGUGUUGCUGUCAUUUGCUAAUUUGCAACGGCGUUUGUACAUUUUUCUACAUGUUCUGGUAUUUAUACACUCGAAUCAUGAAGAAUUUCAAGACAUUUUUUUCCCCUUCAACUUUAUUGCAUCGUUUCAAACAUUCCUAAAGCAGCCGAGAUUACUGUUCCUGGGUCGAGUUUCUUAUGAUUCGGGUUCUCAGGUCGUGGAAUUUAAUAUUUUUGGUGUAGUGAUUCUUCUUCUUCUACUAGAGUCUAUGGAUUUCUAUUUUAUAGUUUUCAAAUUAGAAGGCUUUGUUUGUCUAGGUAAAAAUGAGGGUGUUUUGGUGACAGAUUUUUAAGAUUAUUCCUAUUCAUGUUGUUGUCCGUUUAAGUCACCCUUAGUUUCUGGUUCAAAGUUUAUGGGCCUGUAGUAAUAAAGGUAGCGAUAUUGAUUAUGUAGUUGAUUUUGUUGUUCAAAAUUUGAGCGAACAAAAUUUUUCCAAUUUGGACAACCAACAUCUAUGUAAUCUUCACUUACAUAAAAACAACCUCUGCAUCUAAUAAAAGAUUUCACAAGAAUUUUUUCCCUAAAAAAAGAUAUAUCAAAUAAAUCAUUUUGAUAUACCAAAUAAUUAUUUUUCGAUCUUACAACAUGAGGUCCCUUGUCAUGUGAGCUGGUUCCCAAAAUAGUAUUUAUUUUGAUUUCAUGUGAUUUGAGUACAUUUUCUUAAUUAUUAAUAACGUACAAUAACUUGUUUAUUUUUAGUCGAGUUUGAAUUCCCUUUUAAUCAUAAUUUUAUUUUGGCACGGCUUUAAUUUAAUAGUAUGUAAAGCUAUGCCUCGAUAAUGAGAGGUGGAACCAUGAAGCUUUGUUAUUAGUCCGACCUGUUUGUAGACUUGCUUCAAGAUGGAUUGAAUCAAGACAAACUACAUAAAACAUAAUCUCAAUUGAAGAAAGAAAUAUAAAGAAAAGAGGGUCACAAAUUGAGUACAUGGCACGUGGUGAACUUCAUUCAAAUGUUCCAAUGCUGUGAAUAUAUUUUUAAUGGGUGGAUAAUAAGCAGUUAGUAAUUAUAGAAUAAAAUGUAUGAAUAAAAAAAUAUAUUUGGUUAAUUUAAAUUAUAAUUUAAGUUUUCUCAAAUAUAAAUUCAUGUAUCUUUAUCUUUGGAAAUUCAAGUGGAUGUUAGUUUAACUCGGUGAAUGUGCAUGCAAGAAAAUAGUAAUUUUUGCUUGAUUUGAUUCAUUCAAAAUGGAGAAGUAAGAAUGAUAUUUGAAGAAUAUGCAUAGGCUAAUCUACAGCUUGAACUUAGAUAAGAAAGAGAUGAGGAAGAUUGCUUAACUAAUAUGUAGAAAGGUAGGCAGAGGAUCAUCUUCGACUGAGGGAUUGUUCUAAUCCUUUGAGAAAAAUGAUGAAUUCUAUUGAUACAAAUGGGAGAUAACAAAUAAAUCAUUUCGUAAGUAACAAGCUACCAACAAAUUCACUGUAAACACAAACAUAGAUUAUUUGUAAAGAUUUCAUCAACUUAGUUGAAUGAAAAUGUACUGAGAAAUAGAUGUAUGGUCCUUAUUCAAGCAUGUUUGUAUUCAAGCUAGAAAUAGCCAUCAAAUAUGGAAAAAAACACUCACUUCAUUAAUUUAAAAUUGCAUGCAGGACAUAAAUGUGCAUUAUUUUGAUAGAUGGCGUGUUCAAUAGGAUCUGGAAUUCAGUCCUACACUAGGGAACUAAGAAGUUGUAAUGUGCAGUAGAUUGUGGAAUUUUAGGCUAAUGAAAGAUGGAUAAAUAAAUUUUUUUUUAACUGGUUAUAUGUUGGCCAGAUUUCCUUUUAUACGUGUAUAAAGUGUCACCUCCUAGUCCAUAGAUGCAGAAUGCUCUUUACUUAGUUUGUGCAUAUACACAUUGUUAAUUAGAAUUGUGGAGAAGUGUCAAAUAAUAUCCCUUGGUGAACAUGGGUGUUCAUUUUCUUCUUCGGAUUUUCAAAUUCAUUCUGUAAAUCACUUAGGAUUCCUCUUUCUAAGUUUCACGCUGACUUGAUGAUAAUGAAUUCAAGUAUCUGGUGAUUGGAAGUCGAUAAGAAAGCCUUAUUUCAUACCUUCGAAUAUGCAAGUUUUUAUUUGGAUAUGAUGAUAUCUUUUCACAUGGACAAACACGUAAAGCACAAAGAGAAUAUAAAGAACUAAGAGAAAUUAUGCCCACGACUAAAGGAAACUCAUGCACACACUUCUACAUUCAUAAACAAUAUGGUUCUUCGAUAUUUUUGUACAUUGGCAUAAAUAUGGAUGUUCCAUUAGCUUCUUUCUUUUACUUCUAUCAUUUGUCCGCUUGAAUUCUUCUACUAUCUUCAAUAUUCUUCUACAUUCUGCUCUUUCUCCAAUUGUCAAAAAAUUUCCACAUAUGUGUUCUUCUGAUCAAUGUCUGAAUAGUGUCUUCUUGUUUCUAUUAGGAUAUUUAUAGUCUCCAUGUGUUCAAAACUGCAAUUUAUGUUAUGUUCAUUAUUGUUUUUACAUAUUAUAAAUAGGUCAAUUUGUCUUCAAAUAUUUUUUACAGCCAACUUUUUUUAUUGGAAAAUUUAAUUCGAAUGUUCAGAUGAUUUAACAGAUAUGCUAAUACUUUUCUUAAAUUCUUUUAGUUCCUGUUGUUCACCUCGAGCUCCAACCAUUCGAUAAGUUAUUGUUCUCAUGGACAUUUUGAAAACUUGUGCUAAUAAAGAGACUGGUUCUCUUAACUUUGAAACAAUUUUUCAUCGCCAACAACGAAAUCAAAGGCAAAGGGAUCGGCAAAAUAAACUUUGAAUUGGCUGCAAUGAUCUUCGCAAGAGGAUAACUAAUACUCCGUCAUCUAGAAAUAAUGAUACCAGUGUUGCAUUAGUGCAACAUUCUAUAAUACAUCAUGAUGAUGAGGCUUCUACUUCAAACCAAGAAAUGCCUAAUAUUUCCAAUUCUAGAUUACAAGAUAGUUUGACUCUACUAACAUACCAAUGAGUGCAUAUAUAUUACCAACUUGCAUCUACUGUAAAUAUUGUGGUGCAUGAAAAGUUUACAAAGAAAGUAAAGGCUUCUGCUACUCCGAUGGAAAAGUUCAACUUUUUAUGCUUGAUUCACCAACUGAAUUAUACAACUUAUUUACUUCCAAAGAACUUAACUCUAUGGAAUUCAAAAAAAUCGCAAGAGGAUAUAAUAACCAUUUUACUUUCACUUCAUUUAGUGUAAAGUACGACAAAGACCAUUUUAAAGCAUACAAAGGUAUUUAUACAUUUAGGGUUCAAGGGCAAGUAUAUUAUUAUGUCAAUGAACUUAUGCCAUAGAACAAUACGCCUUCUUAUAUCCAAUUAUACUUUUAUGACAUAGCUAAUGAACUUCAAAAUCGUAUGAGAAUUUCAGAAAACUUUGUUGAAUCUACUUUGAUUGUAUUAAUUGAAAUCCUGAAAGUAAAUUCAUAUAGUAGAUUCUUUAAGUAUUUAAGGGAUAUGUCUAACUUGUACAAUCAUCGUAUACACAUAAGAUGCGAUCCUGGACUUGAUCAAAGAGUCUUCAACACUCCUAUAGUAUCUCAAAUAGCUGUUGUAUGGGUCGAAAAUGACGAAAAUGCCAAUGUUCAUGUUCGUGACAUUGCCAUAUAUGGUCAUUCUGGUGAUUCGCAUGUUCAUUAUUAUUAUGGUUGUUAUGAUCCUUUACAGUAGCCUUUACUUUUUUCAUAUAGGGAGUCUAGUUGGCAUGAAGGCAUUUGGAAAUGUAGAAGCAUGUACUUUGAGCUUGAAUUCAUUGAAUUUCCAAGAACAGUUACCUCUGCAGCUAAAUUUAUUGAAAAAGAAAAUCAAAUGCUUAACGGAACAAAGAAACGGUCUCACAUUUCCUGUCGAGAAUAUUAUUCAUAAAAAUUGCAAAUUAGGCCUUUCGUAUUAACUGGUUGAACUUGCUCUUUAGUAUGAGAUGUACUAGUGGCAUUGAAAUUGGCUCCUACGAUAGAGACAGUAUAAAGAAAAAGGUGAAAUCACUCAUUCCAUGUAGUUUAAAUUCGUAAAUGUCAUCGAUGUAUUAUAGACUCCCAUGCUUUGUUCUCAGAUAUGUAAGUUCAAAAUUAACAUGAUGCCUAAACUAUUAGUAAAAUUUCAUGUAUAUUUGAGCAUAUUGUUCUCUUAUGUGAUUCAUACAAGCAAAAGAAAGGGUCAGUGAAGAAAAAAUGGUCACGUAGAAAAUACUAAGGCUCCAAUAGCAAAUUCAACACACAUGGUCCGAUGAUUUUUAAUAAUAUGUCACGGAUCUAGAUUUCAUGCCUAGACAUUCAAUAUGAAUUACUAACUAGAGAAGCGUACAACUUCUUUCAUUGAAAAAUUUACAGACAUGAUUAAUAACACAUAAGAAACACUGUGUAGAUUGUUUUGAUAUUUCUCAAAGAUGAAUGUAGAAUGAAUUUCACACCCACUUUCAUUUUUGAACUUAAAAAUUGUUUGACUUAUUAAUUGACUUAUUUUUUUGGUUUGUUGAGCUUGAACAAAACAUGACUUUACAUGAUGAUUUGUUGUAUGAUAUGUUUCUUGUUAAUUCAUUUGCUUCUAGAUUAUUUUUUGGGUUGUGUACUUGCAUACUCAUUUAUAUUAUUCCUGAAAUUUGUAUUUAUUCAUCAAAAGAGAUUACAAAAUCAAAUGAUAAAUUGUUGUCUUUGUAGUUUUUGAAGGGGAUUGUUGUUUUAUUUUUAGAUAUGGUUAUAGUUGGAAAUCCAAUUGGUUCUUUUUUAUUUCUUUUGAAUUUAUGAGUUUGUUCUUGAUGAUUUCCUGUGGUGAUAAAUCUUUCAUGGUUUAUUUCACUUAUCUAUCGUUCUUGAUUAUGUUUGUAAAUAUAUAAAUUUUUCAAACUUGAUUCUUCAUAUCUUCUAGUUCAAUGAGUAAUCUACAGAAUUGGCUCGUGUUUCGAUGGCAAUUAUUAAAGCUUCAAUUUGAAUGAGCUUACUUCUAUUCACAUAAUUUUAGUGAGUUCAUGAAGUUAUAUAUCUGUGUAAUUGAUCUUAUAGUACUUUUAUUCAAAUUUAUCACAGUAAGUUCACGAAACUAUAUAUCUAUCUAUUUCUUCUCCAAGGUUCACGCGAAAAAGAUAACUUGAAUGUGGGAAAGGAACUUCAGGAUGAGUUAGAUGUGCUUAUUGAAUGUAGGGAUAUCUAGAAAUUAUUUGGAGAAAAGCAUGUUAUAAGAGAUGUGAACUUCAAGGCGAAAUUUAUUUGCUUUUGGUUGUUCAGUUGUUUGUAAGAAGCAUGAGCUUCAAAGUGAUAUUUUUUUUUCUUUUGAUUGUUCAAUUUUUUGAAUGUUUCAACCAUGUUUAUUAUGAAUUCAGGUCAAAACCACAAGUUAAUGGUUGUUGCCUAGCUUUACAGGUGACAUGGAAAUAGAGGUUCUAAUCUAUAGCUGUAAAUUUGUAAUGAAGAAUAGUUUUUGCUUCAUGAACUAUAUAACACCUAUUAUAUACAAAUAAACGAGCAAGUAUCAAGCAUGGUUUUAUAUAUUUGUAGGUUUAUUUGUAUAUAAUAAAACUCUUCCUCUUACCAUGACCUUUAUCUUCCCAAGCAUUUUUCUCUACUAAUGAACAAGCUCAAGCUUCAAGAAAAUCCUUUCUAAGAGUAACGAAUAAAGCUGUUGAAAUUGUUGUAAAUCCAUUCUUUACAACUUUUCAUUUCCAUACUUUCUUCAUCUGUCAUAUCUUUAUUUUUCUAAUUCAGACAUUAAUUUCUGUCAUUUUAUUUAGGCAAAAAUCAUUUCCAAGAGUGACAAAUAAAACUAUUGAAAUGGUUGGAAUUCUCUUCUUUACGACUUUCCAUUUCCAUACUUUCUUUGUCUCUCAUAUCUUUUUUUUUCUAAUUCUAACAUUAAUUUUUAUCAUCAUAUUUAUGUCUUUGCCUUCAGAGGUUCCAACCAUAGUAUGCUAUUAAUUUUUAUCUUUCUAUUUUUUGGUACAAUUUUAAGCAGUGUUUUUAUUCAUGUUUUGGGCAGCUCUACACCCAUAUGUGCUACUCAAACUUCAAUGACGUUAUCCGCUCUAUCAUAAACAUAUAUACAAAUGUAGUCACUAUUGAGAAUUCAAAAUCAGACAAGAAGAUUUGUUCAAUUUUUUGUGAGAUAGUGAGGCAUUGGCCUCGAUUGGUCUUGUAGGGUGUGAUAAUGGAUGGGUUAUGCAAAAAUAUCACAACUGCAAUACUAAUGGAGUACUCUCUACUCUACCUCUUAUUCAUCCUCUACCUUUUGAUUAUAGCUUGCAACGGCACUUAUUGCUCUGGUACUUGAUUUGUGACGCAAUUCGGAGCUUAUAACUGAUGCAAUUAUAAGUAAUUUGCAAUUCAAGGUCUCACGAGGAGUGAAAGACAUUAUUCUAUUUUAAUGGAACCUUUGACAGUAUUGCUUUUCUUUGACCUUGCUACACAUGGUUGGAUAGUAACAUUGGAAUAAUAUGAUCACCUCGUAAACUGGGGAUUCAAGCAGUUGGAUCUUUUGUUGUUGCAAAAUAUUUCAUUUGAGCAGGAAAAGGCUGAUAUUGAGAAUGCAGAUAGUGCCAAGCCUUUGAAGUUAAGUGGCGGUGGUAAAGAGUACCCCAGGCGCAAGAUAUUAGUCAAGAAAUGAGUAUUCCCUUUUAUUACAUUGUGUCAUUUGAAAUUUAGCUGAAUGUUGUGUAAGAUAGUUAUUUUCUACACAAACAUAUAUAUAAAUAUAUGAUCUUGACCAGUGUAUUGGUCUUUUUUUUUCUUACCAUUUACCAAUAAAAUUCACCAGCUCA